rnacentral:misc_RNA from 1 species
CCGAGUAAUCCUGUACGUUCAGGAACUCCCACCCUUGUGAUGAUGGCGUUGCUUCGGCGAGACGCUGGAAACAGUCAUUGGUGGCGACAGGUCUUCGGACCGGCAGUCCCAAUGUGAGCUCGCCGGAGUCUUCAUACUCUAUAUUAUGCACUGUCAGAGCAAACAAGCAAUAUAUAA